UCCCUUGUAGCUCAGUCGGUAAAGAAUCUGCCUGCCGUGCAGGAGACCUGGGUUCGAUCCCUGGGUUGGGAA
rnacentral:tRNA from 1 species